rnacentral:rRNA from 1 species
GACGAACGCUGGCGGCGUGCUUAACACAUGCAAGUCGAACGGUGAAGCCCUUCGGGGUGGAUCAGUGGCGAACGGGUGAGUAACACGUGAGCAACCUGCCCCUGGCUCUGGGACAACCACUGGAAACGGUGGCUAAUACCGGAUACGACCCGCCUCGGCAUCGAGUGUGGGUGGAAAGUUUUUCGGCUGGGGAUGGGCUCACGGCCUAUCAGCUUGUUGGUGAGGUGAAGGCUCACCAAGGCGACGACGGGUAGCCGGCCUGAGAGGGCGACCGGCCACACUGGGACUGAGACACGGCCCAGACUCCUACGGGAGGCAGCAGUGGGGAAUAUUGCACAAUGGGCGAAAGCCUGAUGCAGCGACGCCGCGUGAGGGAUGACGGCCUUCGGGUUGUAAACCUCUUUCAGCUCCGAAGAAGCGAAAGUGACGGUAGGAGCAGAAGAAGCACCGGCUAACUACGUG